rnacentral:rRNA from 1 species
UACAGAUCGUAGAGUUUGAUCAUGGCUCAGAGCGAACGCUGGCGGCAGGCCUAACACAUGCAAGUCGAACGGAUCCUUCGGGAUUAGUGGCGGACGGGUGAGUAACACGUGGGAACGUGCCUUUUGGUUCGGAACAACUCAGGGAAACUUGAGCUAAUACCGGAUAAGCCUUUCGAGGGAAAGAUUUAUCGCCAUUAGAGCGGCCCGCGUAGGAUUAGCUAGUUGGUGAGGUAAAGGCCCACCAAGGCUACGAUCCUUAGCUGGUCUGAGAGGAUGAUCAGCCACAUUGGGACUGAGACACGGCCCAAACUCCUACGGGAGGCAGCAGUGGGAAUCUUGCGCAAUGGGCGAAAGCCUGACGCAGCCAUGCCGCGUGAAUGAUGAAGGUCUUAGGAUUGUAAAAUUCUUUCACCGGGGACGAUAAUGACGGUACCCGGAGAAGAAGCCCCGGCUAACUUCGUGCCAGCCGCCGCGGUAAU